rnacentral:rRNA from 1 species
GACGAACGCUGGCGGCGUGCCUAAUACAUGCAAGUCGAGCGAAGUUUUUCUGGUGCUUGCACUAGAAAAACUUAGCGGCGAACGGGUGAGUAACACGUAAAGAACCUGCCUCAUAGACUGGGACAACUAUUGGAAACGAUAGCUAAUACCGGAUAACAGCAUUAACUGCAUGGUUGAUGUUUAAAAGUUGGUUAUGCUAACACUAUGAGAUGGCUUUGCGGUGCAUUAGCUAGUUGGUGGGGUAAAGGCCUACCAAGGCGACGAUGCAUAGCCGACCUGAGAGGGUGAUCGGCCACACUGGGACUGAGACACGGCCCAGACUCCUACGGGAGGCAGCAGUAGGGAAUCUUCCGCAAUGGGCGAAAGCCUGACGGAGCAACGCCGCGUGAGUGAAGAAGGAUUUCGGUUCGUAAAGCUCUGUUGUUAGGGAAGAAUGAUUGUGUAGUAACUAUACGCAGUAGAGACG